rnacentral:rRNA from 1 species
UGAGUACGAGAGGCUACGGCCUCGAAGCAGUCUAUGUCAUACUUCCAAGAAAAGCUUGCAAUGUCAGAAACAAAUAAUGCCUGUACCAUAACCGACACAGGUGGGUAGGUAGAGUAUACUAAGGGGCGCGAGAUAACUCUCUCUAAGGAACUCGGCAAAAUGACUCCGUAACUUCGGGAGAAGGAGUGCCUUAUUUAUAAGGUUGCAAUAACAAGAUCCAAGCAACUGUUUAUCAAAAACACAGGUCUCCGCUAAGUCGUAAGACGAUGUAUGGGGGCUGACGCCUGCCCAGUGCCAGAAGGUUAAAGAAGUUGGUUAGCAUUCGCAAAGCUGAUAACUGAAGCCCUGGUGAACGGCGGCCGUAACUAUAACGGUCCUAAGGUAGCGAAAUUCCUUGUCGGGUAAGUUCCGACCCGCACGAAAGGCGUAAUGAUUUGGAUACUGUCUCGGAGAGGGGCUCGGUGAAAUAGACUUGUCUGUGAAGAUGCGGACUACCUGCACCAGGACAGAAAGACCCUAUGAAGCUUUACUGUAACUUGAAAUUGAAAUUGGACUUUAUUUGCGCAGUAUAGGUGGGAGGCGUUGAUAAUAUUCUUGUGGGAAUAUUGGAGCCAUCAGUGAGAUACCACUCUUGUAAUGUUAGAUUUCUAACUUUGUAUCAUUAUCUGGUCAAAGAACAGUUUCAGGCGGGCAGUUUGACUGGGGCGGUCGCCUCCCAAACGGUAACGGAGGCGUACAAAGGUUUCCUCUGAACGGGUAGAAAUCGUAUCUAGAGUAUAAAGGCAUAAGGAAGCUUGACUGUGAGACCUACAAGUCGAGCAGGGACGAAGGUCGGUCUUAGUGAUCUGACGGUGCUGAGUGGAAAGGCCGUCACUCAACGGAUAAAAGUUACUCUAAGGAUAACAGGCUGAUCUCCCCCAAGAGUUCACAUCGACGGGGAGGUUUGGCACCUCGAUGUCGGCUCAUCGCAUCCUGGGGCGGUAGUACGUCCCAAGGGUUGGGCUGUUCGCCCAUGAAAGCGGUACGCGAGCUGGGUUCAGAACGUCGUGAGACAGUUCGGUCCAUAUCCGGUGUAGGCGUUAGAAUAUUGAGAGGAGCCUUCUUUAGUACGAGAGGACCGAGAAGGACAUACCUCUGGUGUACCAGUUAUCGUGCCAACGGUAAACGCUGGGUAGCUAUGUAUGGAGAGGAUAACCGCUGGAAGCAUCUAAGUGGGAAGCCCACCUCAAGAUAAG